rnacentral:rRNA from 1 species
UCGUCAACUCGGUGUCGUGAGAUGUUGGGUUAAGUCCCGUAACGAGCGCAACCCUUGUCCUUAGUUACCAGCACGUUAUGGUGGGCACUCUAAGGAGACUGCCGGUGACAAACCGGAGGAAGGUGGGGAUGACGUCAAGUCAUCAUGGCCCUUACGGCCUGGGCUACACACGUGCUACAAUGGUCGGUACAAAGGGUUGCCAAGCCGCGAGGUGGAGCUAAUCCCAUAAAACCGAUCGUAGUCCGGAUCGCAGUCUGCAACUCGACUGCGUGAAGUCGGAAUCGCUAGUAAUCGUGAAUCAGAAUGUCACGGUGAAUACGUUCCCGGGCCUU